UACAGAGGGCUCAAGCGUUGUUCGGAUUCAUUGGGCGUAAAGGGUGCGUAGGCGGCAGCGCAAGUCAGGUGUGAAAUCCCGGGGCUCAACCCCGGAACUGCACUUGAUACUGCGUUGCUUGAGUACUGGAGAGGAGACUGGAAUUUACGGUGUAGCAGUGAAAUGCGUAGAUAUCGUAAGGAAGACCAGUGGCGAAGGCGAGUCUCUGGACAGUUACUGACGCUGAGGCACGAAGGCCAGGGGAGCAAACGGG
rnacentral:rRNA from 1 species